CCAAAAACACGUUAAAAAGGAAACCCAGAUUGAAUGCAAGAUCGCCAAGCAUUUUUAUUUUCCUUUUUAACAUUCUCAUAAUUCCUAGUUAUUCACCAUUUUCAAAAAAAAUUUCGAGUUUUCAGGACAAAAUAAAAAAUAAAAAAGAUGGGGGAAGAAAGGGCUACGGUGCUACAGUAGGAAUCUUUGCUUGUUAGAGAAGGAGCUGGUGAGAAUAGUUCAAGUGUCACCACUACACUCGUUCUUAGCACCUUUGUGGCAGCUAGCAUUUCCUUUGGAGUUGGAUAUAUUGCUGGAUAUACAUCACCUAAUCAGUCUGUAAUCAUGGAGGACCUGGGUCUUUCUAUUGCAGAGUUUUCACUUUUUGGUUCACUGUUAAACCUUGGAUCAAUUCUAGGGGCAUUAGUAAGUGGGAAGACUAUAGAUCUCCUUGGUCGUAAAGGCGUAAGUUUCGAUAUGACUACUGAACUGACCAUAC